rnacentral:lncRNA from 1 species
AUGUUUAUCAUGCCGAUCUCAAUAUUACAUUUUGUAAUUAAUUAUUUAAUUUUAUCACGAUUUUGGAUAAAUGAAUACGCAAUUAAGAACACUUAUAUUAGACAUAAAGCUCAGAAUCUAACACAGUAUAGGUCAAGGCGUAUAAUGGAAGCAGUUGACUUUGAACAUAUAGAUACACGUGAAAGAAGCGAAGCUGAAUCAAUGGGAGAAUUUAAUACGGUGAAAAGUAAAUGUAAAGAAAAAUUGAAAACAGUUAAAUUGGAUACUGUAAAUAAGGUAGAAAAACAGAAAGUUGCAUAUUUCGAUGACGAUGACAUAGAAGAGUUCAACGAAAUACAUGCCGAUGCUAGCACAUUAGCUGAUGACGAAAGCGACUAUGAUAACGAUUAUGAAAAUUUUGAAAAAUGGAAAUCAUUACAUCAAUAUUCCAACACAUUAGAAGAUAAAGAAAACCAAUAUGAUCAAAAUUAUGACAAUAUAGAAAUAAUAGAACCGUUACAUACAGAUAUAAGCACAUUAGCUGAUGAAGAAAAAGAGUUUGACCUCGAUUAUGAAAUAAUGAAAGAAUGGAAAUCAUUAUAUCAAUAUCCCAGCAUAUUAAAAGAUAAAAAAAAUAAAUAUGAUAAACAUUAUGACAAUGUAGAAAUAAUGGAAGCAUUACAUACAGAUCCCAAAAAAUUAGUAGAUACAGAAAAGAAAUAUUCUAUAGAUUAUGAUGAAUUAAUAAAGCAAAGAAUGUAUAAAAAUAAACUUUUAAAAAAUAAAUUAUUAAUUGCAGAGAGAGAUACACAUAAAUCAUUAAAAAAAAAAGUACAUAAUUUAAAGUUAAUAAAUGAUUUAACUAUAAAAAAUGACAUGAUACUAGAAAAUAUAUUAAACGACACAUCAUAUUUCAAAGAAAAGGAUGAAAAAAAAAAUAAAAAAAAAUUAACUGAAUGUCCAGAUAUUGAAUUGAUAAAACAGAAUAUAUCACAAUUGCAAGAAGCAAUUGAUAUAAAAUUAAAAAGUGAUUUAGCGAAAUCGGAAACUUUGGUAGAUAAUUUUUUAAAUGAUGGAAUAACUUCUAUUGACUUUUUAAUCGAUGAAACAUUUUAUGAUCAAAUAGAAAAUUCUGAAAUACUUAAAAAUGAAUUAUUUGAAAAUGAAAUCAAAAAGCUAAAAUUUUUGAUUGAUAAAUUAGCAGAGGACGAAUUAAUAGAUUAUGAUAAAUUAGUUGAUGAAAAUAUCACAAUGGAAUCAAUUUUGAAUAUAGUAGAUAACAUAAACAUUGAAAAUUAUGCAAAAAGACAGAUAAAAAAAUUAGUUGUCGAAUAUAUGGAUACCAAUGAUCCAUUUGAACAAGUUGAUACAUAUGCUAACAUCAAACAAUAUUUAAACAAACAAUUACAUCCAAAAUCUAUAGAUAAACUUGCUAAAUAUCUUAAAUUACAUCAAACUCGUAAACAUAUAUUGCAUUCAAAACUUUGGAAAACUGUAACAAGUCCUAAAAUAAUAACUUACAUAAGAAAUUAUUUAAUAUUAGAUAUAAUCAUAUUUAUAUUGAUUUUUAGCAUAUGUGGAACAAUGCCGUCUUUAAUAUAUGUUACAUUUGGUAUACUUGUUGCAUUAUAUUUAGGAUUAACUUAUAAGCCACAGACAUUAGGACUUAUUAGAAAAAUUAAAAAAAAAUUUACUGCAUUUCGACAAAAAGUAGAAGACAUGUUUAAAGGAUGUAGUAGGUGCGAUAAGGACAUAACAAUUUGAAAUGAUAUAUAUAUAUAUAUAUAUAUAUAUAUAUAUUUAUAUAUUUUAAAUGAGAGAUAAAAACCUAACUAUGUAAAAAAAUAAUGUAUAUAUAAAUAUAUCCUAAAUAAGGGAUAAGGACAUAUUGUGCCAUUUUAUUUGUAGUUUUUUUUUUUUUUUUUAGGAAUUUAUAUUUUAAAUAUACAUCCGUUAUUUACAUCAAUUUAGAUUAGUUUUAAAAUUAUAUUAAUUAUUAAAUGGUUUAUAACUUUAGAUUUAUUACUAUGGCUUGCAUAUAAAAUAAACAUUUCGACAUCACUAUUUUAUGUAUACA